rnacentral:rRNA from 1 species
UACAGGGGGGGCGAGCGUUGUUCGGAAUUACUGGGCGUAAAGUGUGCGCAGGCGGCCGCGCAAGUCGAGUGUGAAAUCCCCGAGCUUAACUUGGGAAUUGCGCUCGAAACUACGUGGCUGGAGUGUGGCAGAGGAAGGUGGAAUUCCACGUGUAGCGGUGAAAUGCGUAGAUAUGUGGAGGAACACCGAUGGCGAAGGCAGCCUUCUGGGCCAACACUGACGCUCAUGCACGAAAGCGUGGGGAGCAAACAGG